rnacentral:rRNA from 1 species
AUUGAACGCUGGCGGCAGGCCUAACACAUGCAAGUCGAGCGGAUGAAGGGAGCUUGCUCCUGGAUUCAGCGGCGGACGGGCGAGUAAUGCCUAGGAAUCUGCCUGGUAGUGGGGGAUAACGUCCGGAAACGGGCGCUAAUACCGCAUACGUCCUGAGGGAGAAAGUGGGGGAUCUUCGGACCUCACGCUAUCAGAUGAGCCUAGGUCGGACUAGCUAGUUGGUGGGGUAAAGGCCUACCAAGGCGACGAUCCGUAACUGGUCUGAGAGGAUGAUCAGUCACACUGGAACUGAGACACGGUCCAGACUCCUACGGGAGGCAGCAGUGGGGAAUAUUGGACAAUGGGCGAAAGCCUGAUCCAGCCAUGCCGCGUGUGUGAAGAAGGUCUUCGGAUUGUAAAGCACUUUAAGUUGGGAGGAAGGGCAGUAAGUUAAUACCUUGCUGUUUUGACGUUACCAACAGAAUAAGCACCGGCUAACUUCGUG